rnacentral:rRNA from 1 species
AUUGAACGCUGGCGGCAGGCCUAACACAUGCAAGUCGAGCGGAUGAAGGGAGCUUGCUCCUGGAUUCAGCGGCGGACGGGUGAGUAAUGCCUAGGAAUCUGCCUGGUAGUGGGGGAUAACGUCCGGGAACGGGCGCUAAUACCGCAUACGUCCUGAGGGAGAAAGUGGGGGAUCUUCGGACCUCACGCUAUCAGAUGAGCCUAGGUCGGAUUAGCUAGUUGGUGGGGUAAAGGCCUACCAAGGCGACGAUCCGUAACUGGUCUGAGAGGAUGAUCAGUCACACUGGAACUGCUACACGGUCCAUACUCCUACGGGAGGCAGCAGUGGGGAAUAUUGGACAAUGGGCGAAAGCCUGAUCCAGCCAUGCCGCGUGUGUGAAGAAGGUCUUCGGAUUGUAAAGCACUUUAAGUUGGGAGGAAGGGCAGUAAGUUAAUACCUUGCUGUUUUGACGUUACCAACAGAAUAAGCACCGGCUAGCUUCGUG